AGGUUCCUGCAGCAACGCCACAGCUUUCUGCUUUGAGAAUGGUGAUGCAGUUCUGAAGCAGUUAUCUCUAGGACAGGGCUUGGAUCAGAUCUGCUUUGACUUUGGAAUCUUGCUGGCGUUGUUCUUCGCCUUCGUCAUUUCCGGACUUCUGAUACUGGUGUUGCGUAUCCGCUACAUCAAGCGCUAAUGUCUGCCAGGCGCAAUGCGUUAACGUCUCACUCUGAGGUGCUAAACCUGACUUGAUGAUGGUGUUGUUCUAGUGUUGAGAUGAUUCUGUAUUCCGCUAUGUUUGUCAGUGUCUUUCAUGUUGCUAUUUUGUUAGUCAUACAGCCCAUAUACACUCCUUAAUGUCAACUUCAGUAGUGGACAUUCCCAGACAAGUAUUCUGCCUGUCACGUGUGUGUGUGUGUGUGUGUGUGUGUGUGUGUGUGUGUGUGUGUGUGUGUGUGUGUGUGUGUGUGUGUGUGUGUGUGUGUGUGUGUGUAGCAUUAUGGUGAUAAUGCAGAUAAAUUGGUGCACGCAGAUUUAUGCUACUGCUCAAUCUAUACUGCUAUGUUUAAUAGUGCUGUUACUGCAUGCUCAUGCUUUGCUGCUGGCUACGGUCGCGUGCUCAUGCUUUGCUGCUGGCUACGGUCGCGUGCGCAUGCUUUGCUGCUGGCUACGGUCGCGUGCUCAUGCUUUGCUGCUGGCUACGGUCGCGUGCUCAUGCUUUGCUGCUGGCUACGGUCGCGCGCUCAUGCUUUGCUGCUGGCUACGGUCGCGUGCUCAUGCUUUGCUGCUGGCUACGGUCUCAUGCUCAUGCUUUGCUGCUGGCUACGGUCGCGUGCUCAUGCUUUGCUGCUGGCUACGGUCACGUGCUCAUGCUUUGCUGCUGGCUACGGUCGCGUGCUCAUGCUUUUCUGCUGGCAACGGUCGCGUGCUCAUGCUUUGCUGCUGGCUACGGUCGCGUGCUCAUGCUUUGCUGCUGGCUACGAUCGCGUGCUCAUGCUUUGCUGCUGGCUACGGUCGCGUGCUCAUGCUUUGCUGCUGGCUACGGUCGCGUGCUCAUGCUUUGCUGCUGGCUACCGUCGCGUGCUCUGCACAUCAUGGUGUGGUACUCUGUGCGGCUUGGCGCUCUGCGUGAUAUUGAAUGCGUCUCUCUACAUGACA